rnacentral:rRNA from 1 species
CGAAAGCCUGACGGAGCAACGCCGCGUGGGGGAGGAAGGCCCUUGGGUUGUAAACCCCUUUUCUCAGGGAAGAAACCUGACGGUACCUGAGGAAAAAGCCUCGGCUAACUCCGUGCCAGCAGCCGCGGUAAUACGGAGGAGGCAAGCGUUAUCCGGAAUUAUUGGGCGUAAAGCGUCCGCAGGUGGCGAUUCAAGUCUGCUGUCAAAGCACGGGGCUUAACUCCGUUAAGGCAGUGGAAACUGAAUGGCUAGAGUGCCGUAGGGGUAGAGGGAAUUCCCGGUGUAGCGGUGAAAUGCGUAGAGAUCGGGAAGAACAUCGGUGGCGAAAGCGCUCUACUGGGUCGCACCUGACCCUCAGGGACGAAAGCUAAGGUAGCG